rnacentral:rRNA from 1 species
UGAGGAAUAUUGGUCAAUGGGCGGAAGCCUGAACCAGCCAUGCCGCGUGAAGGACGAAGGCGUUCUGCGUUGUAAACUUCUUUUAUAAGGGAAGAAACCUGGAUUUUCUAAUUCAGCCGACGGUACCUUAUGAAUAAGCACCGGCUAACUCCGUGCCAGCAGCCGCGGUAAUACGGAGGGUGCAAGCGUUAUCCGGAUUUACUGGGUUUAAAGGGUGUGUAGGCGGGUUUGUAAGUCAGGGGUGAAAUCCUACAGCUUAACUGUAGAACUGCCUUUGAUACUAUAGAUCUUGAAUAUUGUUGAGGUAGGCGGAAUACAUCAUGUAGCGGUGAAAUGCUUAGAUAUGAUGUAGAACACCGAUUGCGAAGGCAGCUUACUAAACAAAUAUUGACGCUGAGGCACGAAAGCGUGGGGAUCAAACA